rnacentral:rRNA from 1 species
AGUCGAACGGCAGCACGGACUUCGGUCUGGUGGCGAGUGGCGAACGGGUGAGUAAUGUAUCGGAACGUGCUAAUGGCAGGGGGAUAACUACGCGAAAGCGUAGCUAAUACCGCAUACGCCCUUCGGGGGAAAAGCGGGGGACCUUCGGGCCUCGCACUAUUAGAGCGGCCGAUAUCGGAUUAGCUAGUUGGUGGGGUAACGGCUCGCAAGGCGACGAUCCGUAGCUGGUUUGAAGGACGACCAGCCACUGGGACUGAGACACGGCCCAGACUCCUACGGGAGAGCAGCAGUGGGGAAUUUUGGACAAUGGGGGAAACCCUGAUCCAGCCAUCCCGCGUGUGCGAUGAAGGCCUUCGGGUUGUAGCACUUUUGGCGGGAAAGAAACGGCACGGGAUAAUACCCCGUGCAACUGACGGUACCUGCAGAAUAAGCACCGGCUAACUACGUGCCAGCAGCCGCGGUAAUACGUAGGGUGCAAGCGUUAAUCGGAAUUACUGGGCGUAAAGCGUGCGCAGGCGGUUCGGAAAGAAAGAUGUGAAAUCCCAGAGCUUAACUUUGGAACUGCAUUUUUAACUACCGAGCUAGAGUGUGUCAGAGGGAGGUGGAAUUCCGCGAUGUAGCAGUGAAAUGCGUAGAUAUGCGGAGGAACACCGAUAGCGAAGGCAGCCUCCUGGAAUAACACUGACGCUCAUGCACGAAAGCGUGGGGAGCAAACAGGAUUAGAUACCCUGGUAGUCCACGCCUAAACGAUGUCAACUAGCUGUUGGGGCCUUCGGGCCUUGGUAGCGCAGCUAACAGCUGAAGUUGACCGCCUGGGGGAGUACGGUCGCGAGAUUAAAACUCAAAGGAAUUGACGGGGACCCGCACAAGCGGUGGAUGAUGUGGAUUAAUUCGAUGCAACGCGAAAAACCUUACCUACACUUGACAUGUCUGGAAUCCCGAAGAGAUUUGGGAGUGCUCGCAAGAACCGGAACACAGGUGCUGCAUGGCUGUCAAUCAGCUCGUGUCGUGAGAUGUUGGGUUAAGUCCCGCAACGAGCGCAACCCUUGUCAUUAGUUGCUACGAAAGGGCACUCUAAUGAGACUGCCGGUGACAAACCGGAGGAAGGUGGGGAUGACGUCAAGUCCUCAUGGCCCUUAUGGGUAGGGCUUCACACGUCAUACAAUGGUCGGGACAGAGGGUCGCCAACCCGCGAGGAGUGUCCCAGAAACCCGAUCGUAGUCGAGAUCACCAGUGCAGCUCGACUGCGUGAAGUCGGAAUCGCUAGUAAUCGCGGAUCAGCAUGUCGCGGUGAAUACGUUCCCGGGUCUUGUACACACCGCCCGUCACACCAUGGGAGUGGGUUUUACCAGAAGUAGUUAGCCUAACCGUAAGGAGGGCGAUUACCACGGUAGGAUUCAUGACUGGGGUGAAGUCGUAACAAGGUAA